UACAGAGGGGCAAGCGUUAUUCGGAAUUAUUGGGCGUAAAGGGCGCGUAGGCGGCCUGACAAGUGGAAGGUGAAAUCCCUCGGCUCAACUGAGGAACUGCCCUCCAAACUGUUUGGCUUGAGACCGGGAGAGGUGAGUGGAAUUCCCAGUGUAGCGGUGAAAUGCGUAGAUAUUGGGAGGAACACCAGUGGCGAAGGCGGCUCACUGGACCGGAACUGACGCUGAGGCGCGAAAGCGUGGGGAGCAAACGGGG
rnacentral:rRNA from 1 species